GCCCCUGUAGUAUAAGCUAAUACACCGGUCUUGUAAACCGGAGACGAAGACCUCCUUCUAAGGACA
rnacentral:tRNA from 1 species